UAUAUACCCUGGGAGUCCACGCUGUAAACGAUGAGUGCUGAAUGUGGGGGCUUUUGCCUCUGUGUUGUAGCUAACGCGUUAAGCACUCCGCCUGGGGACUACGGUCGCAAGACUAAAACUCAAAGAAAUUGACGGGGACCCGCACAAGCGGUGGAGCAUGUGGUUUAAUUCGAUGCAACGCGAAAAACCUUACCACUUCUUGACAUGGAGGCUAGAUCCUUCUUAACAGAAGGGCGCAGUUCGGCUGGGCCUCGCACAGGUGCUGCAUGGCUGUCGUCAGCUCGUGUCGUGAGAUGUUGGGUUAAGUCCCGCAACGAGCGCAACCCUCAUCCUUAGUUACCAGCGGGUAAUGCCGGGCACUUUAAGGAAACUGCCAGUGAUAAACUGGAGGAAGGUGGGGAUGAUGUCAAGUCAGCACGGCCCUUAUGGGGUGGGCUACACACGUGCUACAAUGGCGACUACAAUAGGUUGCAACGUCGCAAGGCUGAGCUAAUCCGUAAAAGUCGUCUCAGUUCGGAUUGUCCUCUGUAACUCGAGGGCAUGAAGUCGGAAUCGCUAGUAAUCGUGGAUCAGCAUGCCACGGUGAAUACGUUCUCGGGUCUUGUACACACUGCAUAA
rnacentral:rRNA from 1 species